rnacentral:snoRNA from 1 species
UGGAAGUGAUGAAAUAGAGAUAAUUGGAUGUCAUUUUGAAUGGAGUGUGUGUGAGAAAUGGAAUUUAAACCAAGUCAUACUGGGGGUGGGGGGUGGGGAAUGUGUGUGUAUGUGCAUGUGUAGAAAAGGCUUUAAAUGGGGGCACUGACAGUGCAGUGCUGAUUCCGGAGUGCAUCUGAGGCAUGUUGUUCUGUUCUGGGGUGCUACUUUACAACAUUGCCAAUGAUUAAAGCCCAAAACAAGCCCACCAAUACAAGCCUACGCAUCCGAACUCUCUAACAGGUUCAUUUAAUGAAAGUGAGCCUGUGAUCUGAUCUGA